ACCAAAUAGCAGCCUAAAUCCAUUCAAAGAAUGGAUGCGGGGGACCCAGAAUAUGGGGCGUAUUUCCCGGGAUCACCGGGGAUAAGGCACUUCCAAGCCCGAGCCCGACAGCUAACCUCGCAGGCAUUUGGAAGGGCAAUG
rnacentral:sRNA from 2 species